GAAAGAAAAGAGAAAGAAGAGCAAUUUAUAGAAUAACCAUUGAAAAUGUAAUACCCGCCAGCAGUGUUAAUGGGAGGGAAUAUCACACAGUGCACGCAAACGGCUCUUUUUUCCACUGUUCUGCUUCUUUUCCCCAGAAAUGAAUACGUUUUCAUGUCCAGAGGCGAGUGCAGAUGGCACAGGCGAGCUUUCAUGUGGACCCACCGCAGGAAGAGAAGGGAAUGUUGGCGAGAUAUUAAAUGUAAAGAGUUUAGGUUUCACAGGAACCGGAGAGGAGGCGACACCAAAUGGAUUAAAUUCAGAUUUCACGUGGAGUUUGAGGGACUUUGAGGUGCACGUUUACCCACUUCUGAACAUUUCCUACAGAGCUGAUUCAAAGAUUUCAGAAAUUAGCCAAUGACAGCACCAACGGAGGACCAGGAAACUGGAAUCACUCUGGUUCCCGUCUGCGUGGAGCCCAGGAACCAGAGUGGAGGGCGGGAUUAUUCUCAGUUUCUGCCUUCUUUAUGCUUAACGCUCCAUAAAAGCUGUGUGAAAUCUCUCAUCUCGUCUCUCCUGGGCGGAGUUUAAUGAGAUGCAACCAACAAAUUCCAACCUGGAAGGAAAGAGAAGGGAAUCAAAGCCUGUGAACUUUUGCUUUGAUCUUUAUUUCACUGCAGUACUCUGCAGUACGGACAGAUCAAAGCCACUCGGUGAGCCUCCGCUUGCUGAUUCCUGGUAUCUUCACUUGCAGCGAAACCCAACUGGAGACCCUGAACUGGACACUGGCGUGCUCCCGAUGACCUUCAGAGCUCGGCGGGCUAUUGAAAUGACCUUUUUACGGCCCAUCGGGGUCCAGCGGCGCUCAUCUGAGGAAGUCAGGAAGUGGGAAGUGCCAAUAUGUCUGACUGACAACCCGGCUAACCGUCGACGGCACUCUGGGUUUUUCCUGUCGUGAACCGGAGCCCGCUGGAUCCAUUACCUCUGUCCUCUUCAACCUCUGAGGACCGGCGGCCGGCGUUCCACAUGGCUCCAGCGCCGGGCGGCACAUCCCUCUUUGUCUCCGCGGGGGCCUCUUAUGUGACAGCGUCACCGGAGCCGCGGUCGGGGGGCUUCCUCCAGCCAUUCCACUUGGCCGCCCGCCCGCUCCUCUUCCUCCAGGCUCAACGGCAUUGAUCCCAGCCGCGACAGCAGGUCCCAGGGAAGCGUAAGCAGAUCCACCUGGUUGGCUCCAACACUCAGCCUGGCCCCUGUAGGGACGGCUCGCGGUAAAUUAAUAGUGUGCUUGCAGCGACUAGAUAUUGUUAAUGUAUUUGCUAUUGAUGGAGUGAGAUAACAUGAGUAGCUUCAGCCUUACUUAACACUAAACAGAGAGGGGGGGGGGGUCAUUUCCAGCUUCCAGAGGAACUCUGCAUCGCUGGGACUCAUUGAUCGUAAUAAGAUUUGAACCACUGUCAAAUUCAGGGCCUUGAAUUAGGAGACUGAUUCCACGAAGAGUCGAAGGGAGGCACAAACACACCAGACAGGUUCUCCAACCUGCGCACGGACAACAUGAAGGUGCUCUGGGGGCGUCAUCCUCCCGAUCCCGCCUGAGGGCUGUCACGGCGUUACGUAAACGCUGCCUAAGCCCACGCUGAACUCUCGGAUUCAACGGGCUUUGAGUGAGCCGGAGCGCGACUCGUAAGACUGAUCUACUCUAAACUUCUGGAAGAAAAGAGGAUGAAUCACUCCUGAACAUUUCCUGCAUUUUCUGGUUCCACAGGACUAAAGGGCAGGCGCUGGAAACCCACUUUAUUAUUUAUUUACGCGCAUGAGUGUUCUUGGAUUUAUUUUUGUGACAGAUAUAAAGGAGAAUAAAUGAGAUUUACA
rnacentral:lncRNA from 1 species